UGGGGAAUAUUGCGCAAUGGGGGCAACCCUGACACAGCCAUGCCGCGUGAAUGAAGAAGGCCUUAGGGUUGUAAAGUUCUUUCGGUAUUGAGGAAGGUUGAUGUGUUAAUAGCACAUCAAAUUGACGUUAAAUACAGAAGAAGCACCGGCUAACUCCGUGCCAGCAGCCGCGGUAAUACGGAGGGUGCGAGCGUUAAUCGGAAUAACUGGGCGUAAAGGGCACGCAGGCGGUUAUUUAAGUGAGGUGUGAAAGCCCUGGGCUUAACCUAGGAAUUGCAUUUCAGACUGGGUAACUAGAGUACUUUAGGGAGGGGUAGAAUUCCACGUGUAGCGGUGAAAUGCGUAGAGAUGUGGAGGAAUACCGAAGGCGAAGGCAGCCCCUUGGGAAUGUACUGACGCUCAUGUGCGAAAGCGUGGGGAGCAAACAGGAUUAGAUACCCUGGUAGUCCACGCUGUAAACGCUGUCGAUUUGGGGGUUGGGGUUUAACUCUGGCGCCCGUAGCUAACGUGAUAAAUCGACCGCCUGGGGAGUACGGCCGCAAGGUUA
rnacentral:rRNA from 1 species